GCAGUGUGGCGUAGCGGUAAGGAGCAGGGCUCGCAACCCAAAGGUUGCCAGUUCGAUUCCCGCGGGGGCACUGCA